GGCAUCUCCAAACAGCUUCUGACUAACUGCAGCCUCUGGGACACUGGGGACACAGCGAAGCCAAAGACCCACAGGCUGAAGAUAAGUAAAUUACAAACGCUUUUAGUAGGAGUCACCACGGAUUUCUCUGAGACAAUCGCUCCAUGGGUUGCUACAUAUUUGGUGCACCUCCGGGAGCUGCACCUGCAUCCUUAAACCGGUGGCAAGAUGGAAAACACAGACGUUACAGA